CAAUAUUCUAUAUCCUUCCUGACUAGCUUUGCUUUCUAAUCACUGAGAGACACAGGCUCAAAUCUUCUACCAAGAGAGUAAUGAGUAGCCAUAUGAACCAACAAAUUGGGUUACUAUUUUGGAACCGAGAUCCAUCAGUAGGAGAGAUUUUUAAACAUUAAACAUGAAACAUUCUAAUAUUACCCCUACUCCUACAGAAAAGAGAAAGAGAGAACACAUCCCCAGCUCUUACUGUGGGGCUAGAAAAACCUUGACCCCCAAACCAGAAAAAAUACAGAAAGGAAAAGAACAGGCCAAAGUCAACAUAUAAAACAUCCUACAGGAAUAGGAGACACAAUGCAGCAAUGAACGAGAAAGGUAAUGUGCAUGAGAUGUAGGCUUUAUUAAAGGAAUAUAGUUAGUUUAACAGUAGAAAAUCAGUGUAAUCCACAGCAUUAAUGAUUUAAAGGAGGAAAGCCAUGUGAUUUUUUUCAAAAGAUGCAUUUAAAAAAACAAACAAACAAAAAAACCCUCUACCUAAAAUUCAUCCUCAGGAUCAAAUUGGUCCCAGUGACUAUAUUCCUCCCAUACACAAUCCCCGGGUCUAGAGGAAAGGGAGCCCCACCAGAGCAUGGGAGAACUGCAAGGUUCCUGUCAACACAAACAGAGCUACUCUUUUACGGAAGAUCAGAGCUCCAAGAGCCAAAUGGUAAAAGUGGGCCUCUCCGUCACCCAGCUGGUAAACAGACUGCAAGGUCACAAGACAUGCCUUGUGUUGUGAGAAUAAUCCUGUAUCGCUUCAAUGUCAAUAGCUCUGGGACACGUGCAACAAGCUCACUGGCCAGGACCCCUCCCUGCGUGUGAGAACGUGAUGACGGAGAAUGACUCAUUGCCGGCGGUUUAUAACAGGCUGGCAGGAAGCAGACAAGUGCACACUCGCCAUGUCUGAUAACGAGUCAAUCAUGUUCCCUAUCAAACAUUGGGUCAUGGAGUUCAUGGUGGAAGCUGUAGCUACCUUUGUCCUGCAUAAGACACAAGAUGUUUUCUAAACCGAAUGAUUUAACUACUCGUCUACCUGUGUAAUCUGGACUUCCUGCGAGAAUUCUUGUCAUCGGAAAACUUAUAUCUGUUUACACAAUAUGAUUGAUGGAAAAAAAUUUGUUUUUACUGAAAAUUCUUGAUAAAUAUACCAUAUUAUUUUGGACACAAGAUAUUUUCUAAACCGAAUGAUUUAAUUACUCGAAUACGUGUAUAAUCUGGACUUCCUGAGAGAAUUCUUGUCAUCGGAAAACUUAUUUCUGUUUACACAAUAUGAUUGAUGGAAAAAAAUUUGUUUUUACUGAAAAUUCUUGAUAAAUAUACCAUAUUAUUUUGGACACAAGAUAUUUUCUAAACCGAAUGAUUUAAUUACUCGAAUACGUGUAUAAUCUGGACUUCCUGAGAGAAUUCUUGUCAUCGGAAAACUUACAUCUGUUUACACAACAUGAUUGAUGGAAAAAAAUUUGUUUUUACUGAAUAUUCUUGAUAAAUAUACCAUAUUAUUUUGGACACAAGAUAUUUUCUAAACCGAAUGAUCUAAUUACUUGAAUACGUGUAUAAUCUGGACUUCCUGCGAGAAUUCUUGUCAUCGGAAAAUUUAUUUCUGUUUACACAAUAUGAUUGAUGGAAAAAAAUUUGUUUUUACUGAAAAUUCUUGAUAAAUAUACCAUAUUAUUUUGGA